rnacentral:tRNA from 1 species
GAGGGUAUAGACCAGUGGUAGAGCGCGUACUUAGCACGCAUGACAUUCUGGGUUCAAUCCCCAGUACCCCCA